AUUGAACGCUGGCGGCAGGCCUAACACAUGCAAGUCGAGCGGUAGCACAGAGAGCUCGCUCUCGGGUGACGAGCGGCGGACGGGUGAGUAAUGUCUGGGAAACUGCCCGAUGGAGGGGGAUAACUACUGGAAACGGUAGCUAAUACCGCAUAACGUCGCAAGACCAAAGAGGGGGACCUUCGGGCCUCGUGCCAUCGGAUGUGCCCAGAUGGGAUUAGCUAGUAGGUGGGGUAACGGCUCACCUAGGCGACGAUCCCUAGCCGGUCUGAGAGGAUGACCAGCCACACUGGAACUGGGACACGGUCCAGACUGCUACGGGAGGCAGCAGUGGGGAAUAUUGCACAAUGGGCGCAAGCCUGAUGCAGCCAUGCCGCGUGUAUGAAGAAGGCCUUCGGGUUGUAAAGUACUUUCAGCGGGGAGGAAGGCGAUAAGGUUAAUAACCUUGUCGAUUGACGUUACCCGCAGAAGAAGCACCGGCUAACUCCGUGCCAGCCGCCGCGGUAACAC
rnacentral:rRNA from 1 species